rnacentral:rRNA from 1 species
CAGCAGCCGCGGUAAUUCCAGCUCCAAUAGCGUAUAUUAAAGUUGUUGUGGUUAAAAAGCUCGUAGUUGGAUUUCGGCGAGCGUGGGCCGGUUCUCAUUGCUGAGACACUGGCGUCAUCUGCUCGUGUAUAAUCUUGCCAUGACCCGACUAGGUGAUCUUCAUCGAUUGUCUAGUUAGGCUGGCAGUUUUACUUUGAAAAAAUUAGAGUGCUCAAAGCAAGCUUUAACAUUGCUUGAAUAUUAGUGCAUGGAAUAAUGGAAUAGGAAGUCGUGCCUAUUUUGUUGGUUUUCGGACAACGACUUAAUGAUUAAUAGGGAUAGUCGGGGGCAUUUGUAUUCAAACGCUAGAGGUGAAAUUCUUGGACCGUUUGAAGACAAACUACUGCGAAAGCAUUUGCCAAGAAUGUUUUCAUUAAUCAAGAACGAAAGUUAGAGGUUCGAAGGCGAUUAGAUACCGCCCUAGUUCUAACCAUAAACGAUGCCAGCUAGCGAUCUGUCAGUGUUUAGUUUACCGACCUGACAGGGAGCUUCCGGGAAACCAAAGCGUUUGGGUUCCAGGGGAAGUAUGGUUGCAAAACUGAAACUUAAAGGAAUUGACGGAAAGGCACCACCAGGAGUGGAGCCUGUGGCUUAAUUUGACUCAACACGGG